rnacentral:lncRNA from 1 species
UUAAUUGACAUGGUGUAUAUUCGCCUGCUCCUCUCAGGGUUGCCCGGGCAGAGACGCCCCAAGAGUAUUUAUUUCUAGGGUGGAAACAAAACAACCACCCCCGUCUACCGCGUUAAGAGAGCGCUCCAAGAUGGACUGCCGGAGAAAGGCUUUUUGACCCGGGUGGAAAUUAGUCAUAUUGACAGACGCGCAGGAAAGCCCAGAGCUGGCCAGAGUAGCUCUUCCGGAGAAGGACCGAAGGGCCGGGAAAAGGGAAGAAUCUCCAUCUCCGUUGCUUCUGCAGAGCAAAGGGUGCUUGGCUCCUGCAGACUCCCUCCCAUUCUCUACCGGCACCGACCUCAACGACGACACGACCUGGAUGAAUGGAGUAUCCGGAGAAGGUUUUUGAAGACGUUUAGGAGGAAGGGUGAGUUUUCUGUUGAGAAACUCAAUCUGCCAUACAGUAGCGGGCCCCAUCUGGGAUCUGUCACUGCUGACAGCACCACAGGGCACAGCCGUGAUCUUCUGCACAGCCUGCACUCCUCGAAAUACCCUCCUUAAUCAAAGGAUGUCUGCGCGCCGGCGCUCAGCUGACCGCGCCAAAGCAGAGAGGCCUAAGAGUUCCACCCCUCCCGCCCCCUCCCCAGGCUCACAACCUCCCCCAACCCUGUCUUUCCAGAGCAUUAAUUAAAAGCGGAAAAAAG